AUUGAACGCUGGCGGCAUGCUUUACACAUGCAAGUCGAACGGCAGCGCGGGCUUCGGCCUGGCGGCGAGUGGCGAACGGGUGAGUAAUACAUCGGAACGUGCCCAGUAGUGGGGGAUAGCUCGGCGAAAGCCGGAUUAAUACCGCAUACGACCUGAGGGUGAAAGCGGGGGAUCUUCGGACCUUGCGCUAUUGGAGCGGCCGAUGGCAGAUUAGCUAGUUGGUGGGGUAAAGGCCUACCAAGGCGACGAUCUGUAGCUGGUCUGAGAGGACGACCAGCCACACUGGGACUGAGACACGGCCCAGACUCCUACGGGAGGCAGCAGUGGGGAAUUUUGGACGAUGGGCGAAAGCCUGAUCCAGCAAUGCCGCGUGUGAUGAAGGCCUUCGGGUUGUAAAGCACUUUUGGCGGGAACGAAAAGGACUGUGCCAAUACCACGGUUCGAUGACGGUACCCGCAGAAUAAGCACCGGCUAACUACGUG
rnacentral:rRNA from 1 species